GACGAACGCUGGCGGCGUGCUUAACACAUGCAAGUCGAACGAUGAUCCGGUUUCGGCCGGGGAUUAGUGGCGAACGGGUGAGUAACACGUGGGCAACCUGCCCUCCACUCUGGGAUAACUCCGGGAAACCGGGGCUAAUACCGGAUAUGACCUGGGGUCGCAUGGCUCUGGGUGGAAAGUUUUUCGGUGGAGGAUGGGCCCGCGGCCUAUCAGCUUGUUGGUGGGGUGAUGGCCUACCAAGGCGGUGACGGGUAGCCGGCCUGAGAGGGCGACCGGCCACACUGGGACUGAGACACGGCCCAGACUCCUGCGGGAGGCAGCAGUGGGGAAUCUUGCGCAAUGGGCGGAAGCCUGACGCAGCGACGCCGCGUGAGGGAUGACGGCCUUCGGGUUGUAAACCUCUUUCAGCAGGGACCAAGGGUGACUGAGUGUACCUGCAGAAGAAGCACCGGCUAACUACGUGCCAGCCGCCGCAGUAACAC
rnacentral:rRNA from 1 species